rnacentral:rRNA from 1 species
UACGUGGGGUGCAAGCGUUGUCCGGAAUUAUUGGGCGUAAAGAGCUCGUAGGCGGUCUGUCGCGUCUGCUGUGAAAACUCGGGGCUUAACCCCGGGCCUGCAGUGGGUACGGGCAGACUAGAGUGCGGUAGGGGAGACUGGAAUUCCUGGUGUAGCGGUGAAAUGCGCAGAUAUCAGGAGGAACACCGGUGGCGAAGGCGGGUCUCUGGGCCGUAACUGACGCUGAGGAGCGAAAGCGUGGGGAGCGAACAGG